UAGCAUGUGAGACAAAUUAGGAAUUCUCUAAAAUUAGAGGUUUUUUGAGUAUCGCAAUCUAUAGAGAUGUAUAAAUUUCUAACCAUUGAUAUAAAGACUCCUCACAAACGUUGAAGUAAUGCAAACCUCCGGUUUUCACAACAUCGAUCUUCGUAGAGAACAAUCACAUUUGUUUACGAAGGACUUAAGUAUGAAUAGCAUAUUCAGAGGAUGCUACAUACCCAAUUUUUUGUAUUGUUCACAAGUACAGAGUGACGUGAUUUUAAUGUCCAAAUCCCUAUGAUUUCAACAAUGAAAUUAAGUUCAUUUUGAAUAACGUGGUUGAGUAUGUCUUCCUUCCGACUAUUGGAUGGACUGAUCAUUCGUCAGCCAACAUUUUUAUUUUUGAAGUCAAUAGUCAUCUAAAGUCAGUUAUAUUACGUUGCAGUGUUGAGUAUGAAAGUCGUUGUGUGAGGAGAAAAGAUCUGUUGGAGACAUUAGCUAAUGAACUGCCUCAAGGUGCGAUUAGAUAUUCUUCAAAGGUCGAUUCCAUUGAAGAAUCUGGACCAUUGAAAUUGGUACAUCUUGCAGAUGGUUCCACUAUUAGAACCAAGGUAAAUCUUUCUCUGAAAUCCUUAGCUUGGAAUCCAUAUUAUUGAAACUUCAACCAACGUGAUAAUUCAAACGUGUAUUUGACCAUUAUCUCAAUUCCUUUCGUUAGUCUAGUACGUGACUAACUUUGAUAAGCUUCAAUUAAGGCCUUAAUUGGGUGUGACGGAGUCAAUUCUGUGGUGGCAAACUGGCUUGGGCUUCAGAAACCUGUCUAUUCUGGGCGCUCUGCAAUUAGAGGCUUUGUUGAGUAUCCGGAAAAACAUGGUUAUCAGCCUAAGUUCCACGCGUAUUUUGGAGGUGGAGUUCGGUUUGGAUUUCUUCCUAGUGAUGAGAAGAGUUUGUACUGGUUUUGCACAUUCACACCAUCUGUUGUUCAUUGUAAGCCACCUCCUACAUACUGUUUCUUUUGAAGAUUUACUUUUUGAAGGAUAUUUUUGUUGGCUAGAGAGCUUACCUCUAUGAAGGGGGAGCCUUGACGUAAUUGGUAAAGUUACUGUCAUGUGACCUAGAGGUCGCGGAUUCGAGCUGUGGAAACAGCCUCUUGCAGAAAUGCAGGGUAAGACUGCGUACAAUAGACCCCUGUGGUCCAAGCCUUCCCCAAACCCUGUGCAUAGCGGGAGCUUAGUGCACCGAGCUGCCCAGAUAGCUUACAUUUCAUAAACUAGUCAUGUUUAGUUGUUCAUUUUAAUUGGGAUUUUAUGCAGUUGAUGGAAAUGCAGAACAAGAUCCAAUGAAAUUGAAGCAAUUCGUGUUGAACAAGGCUAGUAAUGUGUCUAAAGAACUCUCCACCAUUAUAGACAGAACUACGCUCGACUGUAUAUCUAUCGCUCAGCUGAAAUUGAGGUUGCCAUGGAAUGUUCUGCUUGGGAAUAUUUUGAAAAAUAACGUUUGCGUGGUAGGUGAUGCACUUCAUCCCAUGACUCCUGAUCUUGGUCAAGGUGGAUGUUCUGCUUUAGAGGACAGCGUUGUUAUUGCAAAGUGCCUCGGAGAAGCCUUGAUAAAACCGAUAACAGAACAAGAAGACGAUGAAUCUACGAAGAUUAGAAAAGGACUUGAGAAGUAUGCUAAAGAGAGGAGAUGGAGAAGUUUUACAUUUAUCAGUGCUGCUUAUUUAUCUGGUUUCAUACAAGAGAGUGAUAACAAGAUAAUCAGUUUCUUAAGACAACAUUUUUUGGCUGGAGUUACUAUAUCAGUUACACUAAGAAUAGCUAACUUCGACUGCGGAAGAUUAACUGUUUCUUAGUAGCUCAAUUGGAUCUUUUAGAAGCUAUGAAUACCCUUUAUGGACUUUGUUUAGUAUCUAUCUAGCAUACAUGUUCUGGUUUAGCUGUGUUUAAGAAUUGUAAUACCGAAACGGAUCCUUAUUUUGCAAUAAUAAAAUACAAGUUGUGAGCAACCAAUUGUGUCCUUCAUCAAAGAUAUCCAACAACAUCAGUUGUUUAGAAGUAUUGAACAAGUGUUUUCUUAUCUGAGAUCAUUUCGUGCAAUUAGAUACUACUCCCUAUGUUUCAACGACUUGAUACGAAGUUUAACAAAGUAAAUAAGACUUUUGUACCAUGGACCGCUACUUGGUUCAAUGACUUCCAAUUUCCACAAGGGAUCAUUGUUUUGUUACAUACUCUUGAGUAGAUGUAGGAGGAAAUGCAGGAGUCAAAUCAUGUCUUUAAUUGUUUUUUUUUGUUUUUUUUUGGAUUUCUCACUUGACUUGUCAGGCAAUAGUAUCUCUCAUUGGAAAUUUGUUACAAGUUCUGCAGCAAAAUUUUCUACCGUUUGUCUUACAUAAUGGGAUCAAUUCACAUUGUCUUAGGUGACACACACGGCAGAGAUAGUCGAUGACCUCGAAAUGAAAAUAACAUUUAGAUGGGGUACAAGCACCCCCAUUCUUUUGUUUGUUUUUUCUCUCUAUUAGACUACUUUACUUUGAUUUUAUAUCAAUUUAUGAAUGUCGUAAGUAUGUAUUUUUAAUUGAAAUUUGCUAGUAACUAAACCUUAAAAUUUAUAGUUAUUAGCGUGAAAGGAAUUAAAUUUAACAUUAAAAUACGACCCUCAAUUGAUGUUUCUGGUCAUAGUACUGUUAAAAAAUUACUUAUGAUUGUUACAUUUUAUUAUUCAUUAUAGGCUUAUUUUCACAGAAAUUACACAAGUGUAACUCAUAAACUAGUAUAUAUAUAUAUAUAUAUAUUACUAAAAGUGGGAAGAAUCUAAAGCAAAAAUUAGAUUGCGAAAAUACCCUUAAGUAUUAAUUUAUUUUCUUAAAAAUCUAUUUUUAAAAAUAGUCUUUUUAUUUAUUUAUUUUUAAUAUUUUAUAAAAAAUGAAUGUGUCAAUUACUACUCAUUUAUAUAUUUAUAUUCUGUAAUAUAAACAUUUAUUUGCCUUUAUUUCAAUUAUUCACAUGAAUUUUGAUUAUUAUAACUCCUAUAUUAUAUUAAUAGUCAUGUUCAUAAUAUCAUUUGAUAUUCCAUAUUAUUGUCCUAUAAAUAGAGAUAUUAUAAAGGUGCAAGUAUUACACAAUUUAGUUUGACUUUGCUACUUCUCCACCAUUGGUUAUGAGGGUGACACAUAUUCCCAACUUGUGAAUCAUUUAUGUCUUGAAAUAUGUACCAUUCAAUUGCUCAUUUGAAUUUGAACAAAUAAUUUUAUAAAACAGAGUAACUUUAGCUAAAUAAUUAUAAUGGAUAAAUGAAUAGAGUGUUUGAUAAAUAUGAUAGUAUUUAUGCGUUGCACGUUUAUUUCUAUUUUUUAUUAUAAAGUUUGUAAAAUAAAAUAGUAAAUAAAAAAAAAAGCACUUAAAAAGCUACACAACUUGUAAAAUUUAUGGUCACCAAAGCAAGAAUUAUUAUCAACCAUACAAAGACUCAAAUUUUAAAAUUUAAAGUCUUAUCGUGUAUAAUAAUUUUUUAUUUGUAGUUAUUUAUUUGUUGAAUAGGAAUUAUACUAGAUGCAUAUUAUAAUUGUACAUAUAACCACAUAUUUAUUAUCUCAUUACACAUAAUACCUAUUAAGCUAAAUUUAAUUGUUUAAUUUUGCAAGUUUAGAGUACAUUCUCUAAUAUUUUGUAUGUAUUGAACAAUCAAGUCAUUUGUGUAGACUAAUUAUUUAUCAAAUUGAACUUGUACUUCUUUCUUCUGAUUUAUAUACUCAUUAUACACAUGUUUUAAUAUUGCCUUAUAAUUUCAAAAAAAAAUCUAUACAAAUUGGGACACACGUGCUCAAAAACUAGUUCUAAAAAACAAGCUAAAAGAAAGACGUAUCUACAUUUGAAGUUCGAUUUUCGCCUAUUUUAUAUUCCGACAUAUUCAUUCACUUUGACUUAAAGGGCGUGUUUUGCGUGGUAGGUGAUGCACUUCAUCCCAUGACUCCUGAUCUUGGUCAAGGUGGAUGUUCUGCUUUAGAGGACAGUGUUGUCAUCGCAAAGUGCCUCGGAGAAGCCUUGAUAAAACCGAUAACAGAACAAGAAGACGAUGAAUCUACGAAGAUUAGAAAAGGACUUGAGAAGUAUGCUAAAGAGAGGAGAUGGAGAAGUUUUACAUUUAUCAGUGCUGCUUAUUUAUCUGGUUUCAUACAAGAGAGUGAUAACAAGAUAAUCAGUUUCUUAAGACAACAUUUUUUGGCUGGAGUUACUAUAUCAGUUACACUAAGAAUAGCUAACUUCGACUGCGGAAGAUUAACUGUUUCUUAGUAGCUCAAUUGGAUCUUUUAGAAGCUAUGAAUACCCUUUAUGGACUUUGUUUAGUAUCUAUCUAGCAUACAUGUUCUGGUUUAGCUGUGUUUAAGAAUUGUAAUACCGAAACGGAUCCUUAUUUUGCAAUAAUAAAAUACAAGUUGUGAGCAACCAAUUGUGUCCUUCAUCAAAGAUAUCCAACAACAUCAGUUGUUUAGAAGUAUUGAACAAGUGUUUUCUUAUCUGAGAUCAUUUCGUGCAAUUAGAUACUACUCCCUAUGUUUCAACGACUUGAUACGAAGUUUAACAAAGUAAAUAAGACUUUUGUACCAUGGACCGCUACUUGGUUCAAUGACUUCCAAUUUCCACAAGGGAUCAUUGUUUUGUUACAUACUCUUGAGUAGAUGUAGGAGGAAAUGCAGGAGUCAAAUCAUGUCUUUAAUUGUUUUUUUUUGUUUUUUUUUGGAUUUCUCACUUGACUUGUCAGGCAAUAGUAUCUCUCAUUGGAAAUUUGUUACAAGUUCUGCAGCAAAAUUUUCUACCGUUUGUCUUACAUAAUGGGAUCAAUUCACAUUGUCUUAGGUGACACACACGGCAGAGAUAGUCGAUGACCUCGAAAUGAAAAUAACAUUUAGAUGGGGUACAAGCACCCCCAUUCUUUUGUUUGUUUUUUCUCUCUAUUAGACUACUUUACUUUGAUUUUAUAUCAAUUUAUGAAUGUCGUAAGUAUGUAUUUUUAAUUGAAAUUUGCUAGUAACUAAACCUUAAAAUUUAUAGUUAUUAGCGUGAAAGGAAUUAAAUUUAACAUUAAAAUACGACCCUCAAUUGAUGUUUCUGGUCAUAGUACUGUUAAAAAAUUACUUAUGAUUGUUACAUUUUAUUAUUCAUUAUAGGCUUAUUUUCACAGAAAUUACACAAGUGUAACUCAUAAACUAGUAUAUAUAUAUAUAUAUAUAUUACUAAAAGUGGGAAGAAUCUAAAGCAAAAAUUAGAUUGCGAAAAUACCCUUAAGUAUUAAUUUAUUUUCUUAAAAUCAUUUUUAAAAAUAGCUUUUUAUUUAUUUAUUUUUAAUAUUUUAUAAAAAAUGAAUGUGUCAAUUACUACUCAUUUAUUUAUUUAUAUUCUGUAAUAUAAACAUUUAUUUGCCUUUAUUUCAAUUAUUCACAUGAAUUUUGAUUAUUAUAACUCCUAUAUUAUAUUAAUAGUCAUGUUCAUAAUAUCAUUUGAUAUUCCAUAUUAUUGUCCUAUAAAUAGAGAUAUUAUAAAGGUGCAAGUAUUACACAAUUUAGUUUGACUUUGCUACUUCUCCACCAUUGGUUAUGAGGGUGACACAUAUUCCCAACUUGUGAAUCAUUUAUGUCUUGAAAUAUGUACCAUUCAAUUGCUCAUUUGAAUUUGAACAAAUAAUUUUAUAAAACAGAGUAACUUUAGCUAAAUAAUUAUAAUGGAUAAAUGAAUAUAGUGUUUGAUAAAUAUGAUAGUAUUUAUGCGUUGCAUGUUUAUUUUCUAUUUUUUAUUAUAAAGUUCGUAAAAUAAAAUAGUAAAUAAAAAAAAAGGCACUUAAAAAGCUACACAACUUGUAAAAUUUAUGGUCACCAAAGCAAGAAUUAUUAUCAACCAUACAAAGACUCAAAUUUUAAAAUUUGAAGUCUUAUCGUGUAUAAUAAUUUUUGAUUUGUAGUUAUUUAUUUGUUGAAUAAGAAUUAUACUAGAUGCAUAUUAUAAUUGUACAUAUAACCACAUAUUUAGUAUCUCAUUACACAUAAUACCUAUUAAGCUAAAUUUAAUUGUUCAAUUUUGCAAGUUUAGAGUACAUUCUCUAAUAUUUUGUAUGUAUUGAACAAUCAAGUCAUUUGUGUAGACUAAUUAUUUAUCAAAUUGAACUUGUACUUCUUUCUUCUGAUUUAUAUACUCAUUAUACACGUGUUUUAAUAUUGCCUUAUAAUUUCAAAAAAAAUCUAUACAAAUUGGGAUACACGUGCCCAAAAACUAGUAUAUGGAUAAUGAUGAUUGAUUUGUAAGAACAGAACAUUUUGUUAUUUGCUGAAUACAAAAAAAGAUGUGGCUUGUUAACUGGUCAUGUUAUCGGAUUGGACCUUAGUUGCAGUCGGCUUGGUGGAACUAUUCAUCCCAAUAGCAGCCUCUUCCAACUCCAUCAUCUCCGGACACUAAAUCUUGCUCACAAUGACUUCAAUUUUUCUUCAAUCCCACAUAACAUUGGCCGAUUGACGAAUUUGAGACAUCUCAACCUUUCUGGUUCUUUGUUUGAAGGGGAAAUCCCAACAGAAAUCUCAUACCUUUCCAAUUUGGUUUCACUUGAUAUGAGUAACAAGUUGUUAGAAGUGACUAGUACUCAUCCAUGGACCGCUAGUUGUGUAUUUAGUGAUGCCAAAGUUGUAUUAUUUUCUCUCAAUUUAUGCCAAAGUUGGAAAUAGACUUAUGAGGGGGAAAGUACCCCAUUUUAUUUGUCUAGAUAUCUUUUCUUUCUUUAAUUUAAACCACACACUUCCAUAUACCCAGUGUAAUUCCUUAAGUCAGGGUUUAAGAAAGGUAGAGUGUACGGAGACCUUAUCUCUAUGAGGUAGAGAUAGAGAGGUUGCUUUCGAGAAUAAAAUACAAGUUGUGAGCAACCAAUUAUGUCCGUCAUCAAAACUACCCAACAACAUCAGUUGUUUAGAAGCAAAUAUGGUAAUUGGUAACAGCUUAAAGGUAAAUCUGAAGUAUUUUUUAAGUGUUGGCUUAUCUGAGAAUUAGAUGCUACUCCCUCCGUUUCAAUAUGUCUGAAUGGUUUUGACUUGACAUGGAGUUUAAAAAAGUAAAAAAAUAAUUGUAUCUUGUGGUCUCAAAUUAAAAUACGUAGAAUGUACCAUGAACCACUAAUUGGUUCAAUGACUUCAAAAUUCCACUGUAACAUUGUCUUGUUAAAUCAUGUCUUCAAUUAUUGUUCUUUUUAUUUUUCUCACUUGACUUAGUUAAGCAAUAGUAUCUCUCAUUGGAAAUUUGCUGCAAUUCACAUUGUUUUGCGUAACACACACGGCAAAUAUAGUGGAUGACCUUGAAAUGAAAACAACAUUUAGAGAAAACAAAUUUGGAAUAAUUGGUACUGGCCACCAAGAAUUAAAGACUCGAGUCUUUAUGGAAAUUGACUUAAAUUUGGGACAAAUUUUUUUGCAACCACAAAUUAGUUUGUGGUAGAUGAGGGGCAAGUACCCCAUUUUAUUUGUCUGGAUGUUUUACCUCACAGUCCCAUAGACAAGUCAACAACAACAAUAACAUAUUCAGUGUAAUCUCACAAGUGGGGUCUAGAGAAAAGUAGAGUGUGCGUGAGAGGUUGCUUUCAAUAGACCCUUGGCUAAAAAUAAAGCAUGGCCAAGCAUUUUGAAAAAGGGAAUACAAAAGUAAAAGUAAUAACAACAAUAAAAUAAUAUGAAAAGAAGAGUAGUACAACAUACAGAUGAAUGAAUAAUAUGACAAUAAAAUAAAGCGAUAUUCGAAGCACAAAAUACACAGGUGAUACUCGGGAAAAAAAAACUACGAUCGAAUAUAACACAUGAUAGACAAGUCAACAACAAUAAUUGCAUAUUCAAUAUAAUUUCACAAGUGGGGUCUAGAGAGAGUAGAAUUUGUGCAGAAAUUACAGGAGCGUAACUCAGAAACUAGUAUAUAUAUAUGGAUAAUGAUGAUUGGUUUGUAAAAACAUAACAUUCUAUUAUUUGCUGAAUACAAAAAAAAAAAAAAAAAGAGAAAAAAGAUGGGACUUGUCUUUUUCUUUUAUUCACUAGUCUGUUUUUUGUCGGUAAUUAGUGAAAGUUUUUCUUCUUCCUCUGUGAUGAUGCAUCAUGUUUGCUCUCCCACUGAAGCUUUUGCUUUGCUUCACUUCAAACAAUCCUCUCAAAUCUCUGACCAACCUAGAUGUUGGGAUGAGACUGAUCUGCAAUAUGAGAGAUAUUUUGAUAUCCCAAAAACAAAGUCUUGGAAUGAGAGUAGGGAUUGCUGCAGUUGGGACGGGGUAACUUGUGACAUGUUAACCGGUCAUGUUAUCGGAUUGGACCUUAGUUGCAGUCUGCUUUUGGGUACUAUUCAUCCCAAUAGCAGCCUCUUCCAACUCCAUCAUCUCCGGACACUAAACCUUGCUUACAAUAACUUCUAUUCUUCUUCAAUCCCGCAUAACAUUGGCCGAUUGAGGAAUUUGAGGUAUCUCAACCUUUCUCAAUCUUUCUUUGAAGGGGAAAUCCCAACAGAAAUAUCAUACCUUUCCAAUUUGGUUUCACUUGAACUUUUUUGUUACGGAUGUGAACUUGAUGAGAGAACAUUUGAAACAAUUCUUCACAACUUCACAAAUCUGGAGGUAGUUUCUCUCCUUGGUGUCAACAUCUCAUCUUCAAUACCUGUGAAUAUUUCUUCAUCCUCCUUACGGUACGUGGAUCUUGGACAUACUAAUCUGCGAGGUGUUAUCACAGAGAGCUUUUUCCUUCUGCCAGAAUUGGAAAAUCUCAAAUUGAAUGGAAAUGAUCUUCUCAAAGGAGUUUUACCAAAGAUCCACCCGAGCAACACUCUGUUGGAGUUGGAUAUUUCCUACACAGGAAUCUCCGGUGAGCUGCCUGAUUCAAUUGGCACCUUGAGUUCAUUGAAUCUCUUGAACAUGUAUAGAUGCCAAUUCUCUGGUUCCAUUCCUGAAUCCAUUGGCAAUCUUACACAAAUGCGGAAAUUGAAUUUUGGAAAUAAUCAUUUCACCGGCCAUAUUCCUUCCACAAUCUCUAAAUUGAAGCACCUCACAUUUCUAGGUCUUUCGUCCAACUCCUUUUCAGGUGAAGUUCCCGACAUUUUUUCUAACCUCCAAGAGCUACGUACUUUAUAUCUUCGUAACAACAGCUUCGUUGGUUCGUUUCCUUCUACAAUUGUAAGCUUGACACAUCUUCAAGACUUAGAAUUGUCGAGUAAUUCCCUAUCUGGCCAACUGCCUAUUAAUGUGAGCAUGCUUCAAAAGCUAACCAUAUUGGAUCUGUCGUACAACUCACUGAAUGGUACCAUACCAUCUUCGGUGUUUGGCCUCCCUUUGCUAUCUUCAUUAUUGCUCCAACAUAAUCAAUUUAGUGGACUAGAUGAUGAGCUCAAAACAAACCCAACAUUAGCACACCUGGGUUUAAGCCAUAAUCAACUCAGUGGUUCUUUGCUUCAAUCACUUUCGAAUCUCACAAACCUUUCUAUGCUUGACCUUUCAUCAAGUAACAUCACCGUUCAUGUGGGAAAACAAAUCACUUUUCCUGGCCUAGAAGUUUUGCGGUUAUCAUCUUGUGAACUAAAGGAUUUUCCACACUUCUUGAGAAAUGUGAAGACACUUUGGCUCUUGGAUAUUUCUAACAAUAAGAUUCGUGGCCAAAUCCCAAAACUGGUUUAGCGGCAUAAGGUGGGACAACUUGUGGUACCUAAACCUUUCGCAUAAUUCUUUAACAGGCCACCUACAACAAUUUCAUUUCCAUAAUCUAGAGUAUCUUGAUCUUAAAUUUAACUUCCUUCAGGGUCCACUACCUUCAUCCAUUUGUAUCAUGAACAAUUUUCAAUUUCUAGAUUUAUCACACAACAACUUCAGUAACUCGAUUCCAAGUUGCUUGGGAAGCAUGACUAGUCUAACAGUGUUGGACUUAAGAAAGAACAAUUUCACAGGGAGUCUUCCAUCGUUAUGUGCGCAGAGCACUUCAUUGAGAACCAUUGUCUUGAAUGGUAAUCAAUUUAAAGGAACUCUCCCUGUGUCGUUGCUCAACUGUAGUGGUUUAGAAGUUCUUGAUAUGGGGAAUAACGCUAUAAAUGACACAUUUCCUGCUUGGCUAGGAACACUUCAACAACUGCAGGUCUUAAUAUUAAAGUCCAAUGUGUUCCAUGGACCAAUUAGUACUUGUCAGACUACGUUUUGCUUUCCCAAGUUGCGAAUUUUUGAUCUUUCGCGUAACAAAUUCAGUGGCUCACUCCCUGCAAAAAGUUUUUGCAAACUUCAAGGCAAUGAUUAAAUUAGAUGGUGAAGACACAGGAUAGAUCAAGUACAUGAAACCAUCUGAUGAUCCAUUUGACACAUCGUAUGAGGAUUCAGUGAGUUUGGUGAUCAAAGGCCUGGAUAUUGAGCUAGAAAGAAUCAGCACAAUUAUGACAACCAUAGACCUCUCGAGCAACCAUUUUGAAGGUGUCAUUCCGAAAACACUAAAGGAUCUCAGCUCACUUUGGCUACUCAAUUUAUCCCGUAACAAUCUCAUAGGUGAUAUUCCAAUGGAAUUGGGGCAAUUGAAUAAGCUUGAAGCGUUAGAUCUCUCUUGGAACCGGCUCACUGGAAAGAUUCCGCAGGAAUUGACAAGGCUAACAUUUCUGGAAAAGUUAAACCUUUCUCAGAAUGUUCUCGUUGGACCAAUUCCUCACGUUCUACAAUUCAACACAUUUGAAAAUGACUCGUAUGGCGGUAACCUUGAUCUAUGUGGUCCUCCUUUAUCAGAGCAAUGUGGAACGAGUGAUCUAUCCCAUGUUCCUCAACCAUUGGAGUCUGAAGACGAAUCAUAUUUUUUUAGUGGAUUUACGUGGGAAUCAGUAGUCAUAGGCUACAGUUGUGGACUAGUUGUUGGAACUGUUGUGUGGAGCCUCAUGUUUAAAUAUCGUAAGCCAGAAUGGUUUGUCGAAUUUUUUGAAGGCAUUUAUCCCAAGAAAAUGAGAAUGUCAAUGAAGAGAGCUCAGAGACGACGGACUUGAUGGAAGAUUGCAAGAGUGGACUUCUCUGUUUUUUAAUUUUCUUUUUGUUGUUUGUAUAUGUUUGAUAGCAAUAUAAUUGCAUGUGUUAUUUUGUGAAUUUCCACUGGAUUAAAAUUAGUGUUCUUGAUCUUUGCUUUCAAACUAAAAAAUUAAACUCAAAAUAAAAACAAGAGGACAUAAAACAUAACUUUCCUUUUUUACUAAAACAAUUUAUUCAAUUACUCUUGAGUUUAAUCAACUUCAACAUGUUUGGUAAUAUCAUCUCAAAUUAAUAAUACUAAAAAUGAUGGAUUUAAGAUCAUUCAAAUCCACAUAUAAAUUGAUUAUUGUAUAAUGGCAAUCCUCAUGCCUUCACUUAAUUGAAAGAAUGAGCCAAAGCUGUCAUGACAUGAGCUUGGUCUGAAAUAAUUUGUGUAGUUGAAGGAUUUUGUCCCAAAACAAUACAAUAACCAUCAUCAUAAUUCUCCAUUCCAUGUGCCAUUAGUUGCCAUACUAAACUUCCUCCCAUUGUUCCACCUUCUUUUGCCAAAUUAUACACAUUUCUAUAUACACUACUCAUAAAUAUAUCUCUUGAUCCUUGACCUCUACUAGACUUUCCAAAUUCAGCAAGCACUAAAGGUUUCUUUAAUAUAUUUCUUGCAUCUUCCCAAUGACUUGUUAUCCACUUUUCCAUCCACACCAAUUGUGCUUCAUCACUUUGUCCAGAUACCCUAUAACGAUCGAUAUAAAGAAAUAUUUAGACCUAUAUAAUGAAAACAUAUGAAAUUGUAUGUAGGGAAAAGAUGUAAAAACUACCAUUGGUCAGUGUAUGCAUGGAUAGUAGCAAAAUCAAUUUCAUUGAUAAGAUGGUUACUAAUGAUUUGAUAUUUCUAAAAUUCAAUUAAUUAAACUUGAAUUGGGGAUUACAUUAACAGUUUUUCCUGAAUAGUCAGCUUGAUCGCGAGGCUCAUUCAUGAGUUCCCAUUCCAUAAUUGUUGGAUCAUCUUUGUAAGCAACUUUAUUAAUACUAUUCAACCUUGUAACCACUUUCUGUAACAAUUUCGUAAUAUUAUUAAUUAAAAAAGUUGUUUAUAUGUAUUAAAUAAUAAUUACCCCAUAUAUACCUCAAUGUGGUUCUUCAAGUAUUUUUUGAGCAUAGGAUGAGUAUAGAAUUCAUCGUCAUUACUAAUUUGAGCUCCUGCAUUUCGCGCCCACCAAACAUAUUGAGCUUUUCCUCCAAAAAUCGUUUCAUUGAUUUACAAAGCUCAAGAUUAAACGAACACCAUAUUUCUUAGCUUCCGCGAUCACAAAAUCCAAGCCCUAAAUUUAGAAACAAUUAAAAUAAGUACUAUCUAAUUAAGAGACUCAUCACAUGCAUUACAAUGCAAUAAUGUAAAAGAUAUCAAAAUUAUAAUAAUAAACCUUUACCUGAAAAACACGUUCAUCAUAAACGCCAGGUGAUAUUUGUAAUGCUCUAUCACCUCCAUCACUAAAAGCCCAAGUACGACAAACAGAAAGACCAGAGGUAGAAGCAUCUUUAAGAACCUCAGUGCCUUUGUAUCUCUCAGUAGGGUCAGCAGCAACAUGCAUCAACCAAUAUGAGUUGAAACCAUUGAAUAGAAAAGGGGAUCCAUUGAGUUCAAAAUGAGAAUCCUUAACUCCUAUAAACCCGGAAUUUGCUUCACAAGCAAGAGCUAAGAACAAGAGAAAGAGCCCAGAAAUGCAACUUCUUUUUGUAUAAGACAUUUUGUUUAGUGAAUUAUAGAAGAUAUAUGUGUGCUAUGUUAGAUGACACCUUUUAUAGUGUGUUGAAGAUAAGGAAAUUUACUAAAAUUAAAUUAGCAAAACUUACAAAAACUAAAAAAAAUUCCUAGUGGAUAUAAUUGGAUAUUGAGAUUUGAUGAAUUUUUUUAAAAAAAUUAGUUAUUUGGUUAAGAUAGAAACAAAGUUCUGUUGAAAAAAUUGUAUGGGGAGAAAAGAAGAAGAAAAAUAUGGAAACAUUAAUUGGUUUGUUUUUUUUAAGGUUUGUUCACUAUUAGAUUUGAUGAUGAAAUAAUAUUGAAACGUGUACUCAUUGUAUUUUUUAUAGUAAUAUACUUGAAUAUUUCUAUGUGGAUGUGUUAUGUGUGUAUUUUAAUCUUAUUUUAUUGCAAGAAAUUGAGCCAAAAUAAAAAUAAAAAUACUUUUAAAAAAAGUUUAAAAGAGAAAUAAAGAGGGCAUAACAUUAUUUGGGAAUAAAAUAAUUUUUUUGGAAGAUAUAUUCUUAAAAAAAAGGUGAGUUUCUUAUUUAUUUUUUUGGUAUGAAUAAGUGAAUUUCUUACUUAUUUUCUGGUAACAUAUUUGGGAUCUUUGAUGUUUAGUUUAUGCUAAUUUGACAAAUUUCAUAGUCCAUAUGUCCCAAGUAUCAUUUUGGAUGAAGUCGUCAAAGACGACUUUAAACUUAGAAUAGGCAAAUUUAAAAUAAGUGUGAUCUUAUUAUACGUGGAGGCGGAUGCAAUGGUUUAAUUAUGAGUUCAAUCGAACUCAAUAUUUUUGUCACAUAACAUAUAUGUAAUGUAGAAGUCAAAAACACAAAAAUAAAAAGAGAUUCUAUAUUCAUAAUUAAAAAAAGUACAAUUAGUUCAGUUUAAAUUCUAAAUUCGACUCAAACUAUAUGUAUAUAGAGUUGUAAGUUGAAAACAAUAGGUUCACUUCUACUCAGAACUCGCCCUGAAUCCGCCUCUGGAAGUAACCACCUAUUCCACGGCUAUGGAGGAAAAAUUGAAAAGAUCGUCCCCAAAAUGCUAUUAUAUACCAAUAUAAAGUAUGAUUUGACGUAUACAGUGUAAUUUUUCGACGAAGAGUGUUCAGAGAAACCACAGAACACCGUAGCUCCGCCCAUGAUCCCUGUAAGCAACCACCUAUCCGGUCGUUAACAUAUUAACCUAAAAAAAAUAUAACCUGAAGUUACAAUUGAUAUUAUUCUAUUUUGUCAACUGGAUUUUAGCGUUAUUGUUGUUUCUCGAUCUAUAUUACUGUUUACUACUUUGUCAACCCUUUAGUUACAUUUUUGAAUUUCUUUUUCUAGCUGAAGUUAAAAUAUACUAUCAGUGUGGAGGGAAAUAGCAUUGAGAAGAUGCAUACAUACUUUUCUUUAGCAACUUGAGUCAUUGCAAACAAUGCAAAAUCUCCGCAGAUGUUGCGGUUGCCAAAAAGUUAAAUAGGCGAUUUCGUUGUGGGAAUGUUGUUGAAAUUAUAUUUUCGGAUGUAAUCCACUGCAUAAAAAUAGGAGCCAGAACCCUUGAAGCCAUAGGGAAGCACUGUUAUGUCUCACUAGUUUGCAUCGAACAAUGCAUCCCCUUAAGGUUACUGACAAGCUAUCUCAAGUGGAUGAAGCUUUGUCAAUAGCCAAUAUAAUGACAAAUCUCAAGCAACUCGAGCCUCCCUAGAUGUUGGUUGGUAUAAAAAGAAAAUUGAGGUCGUUAAAAACUGCAGACAUCUUGAGCUACUAGAUGUAAGAGGUUGUUGGAAUGUGAACCUGAUGAAAAUUUAGUGAAGAAAUUCCAUCUUAUAGGUGGUUGAUGCAAUUGUCAUAGAUUGCUAUAAUAGGAAUAGCUGGGACAAUUGUUCUAACUAUUCAAGUUUUUUGUCUAUGUACAAUGGGAUUUUGUGGUUGGUGAAGCGGAUGACGACGAAUUUGAUGAGAUGUCCGAUGUGUAUUGGGGGGAUGAUCAAGAUAUGGAGGAUGUAAAAAUGUGGUGUAAUGAUGACUUAAAUGAUGUGGACUCUGGAUAUGAUUGGCUGCCAUCUCCUUGAGGUUUGCUUAUAAAAUUCUACUUAUUCAAUUUCCAGAAGUUUUGAAAUACUUCUCUUCUCUAUGUUAAAUGCCUAUGCUUCUCUAUGUUAUAUAUGAAAGUUUGUCCGCUCUCUACAAUACAAGGUAAAUGCGAGUUAUGUGUCUUGUGUACCUUUUUCCUCUUUCUUUGUUCUCUUUUAUUACUUUCUUAACUGUAUGUAUUCAUAUAACAAUAUUUUCAUGCUAUCUACAUGUUUGCUACAUUUGAGUCGAGGGUCUUUCAAAAAAUAGUCUUUCUUCCUCCACGAGGUAAUUGUAAGGCCUACAUACACUCUACCAUCCCCAUACCUCAGUUGUGGGAUUCCAAUGAGUAUGCUGUUGUUUCUUAGCUUGUGGUUCUUUGAGGAGUUCAUGCUUUCAUUUGAAUUUUCCAUCUGGUUGUUUGUUUCUCCUUUUUAACUCUACUGCUGAUUUUUUAAACUAAAGUUAUUCUACUCCAUCUUGUGGUUUCCAGAUUUUCUGUUCUUUUUGUUUUUGUUUGAGCUUCUUCUUAAUCUGCUUCGUCAGCUUUCUAAAUUCAUGUAUGAGCUAGUAAAAGAAACAAAGUCUAGCAGAAGAAAGUUAUGACGCCAUAUCUAAAUAGCUUGAGUCAUGGAAAAGUGUCCCAUGACAGUUUUGUUGAGUUCAUGUGGUAGUUCUAGUUUAAUUUUAAAUUCUUAGAGUCAAAGUUCUAUUGUUGUGCUACUUAAUUAUGUUGUCUUAAUUAAUGUUUUGUUUUCCUAUGAUUUUUCAUUCUUUUAUCUUUUUUUUGUGCAGGGAGAGGGAACAAUUUUUGAAUUGAUUAUUAUCAAUGUGGUUUGUACAACAUUAGCCUGAUUUAUUUCAUUCAUUAUUAUAUUGUGUUACCAACAGUUUAGCUUUAAGAAACUUAUGAAAAGUGAAUACAUGUCAAAUGACAUGGAGAAAGCUUAAAGAUUGGUAGGGUUCAGUGCUUGUUACCUUUUACUAUAAUGCUUCUUAUUAGUCCUUUGUUAUAAAAGUUUAAUUAAUGCACCGGAUAUAGGGUAGUAGAGAUUCAUAUAAAAUUGUGCUUAAAUAGCCUUAACACUACUAAUAUAUAUCUUAAAAUAAUAAGCUUCACAUUUGAUGUAGUCUUGGUACUCUGAUUAAUUUGAAUUGAUAGUGUAUUAUUGUCGAAAUAACUAGGGUGUCCUACUCUAGUCUCUUUUUCAGCUGUCAUUUUGCUGGAUUUCUGUUUGUUUUGGGGUAUUUUUAACUAUCUCAGAUCUUUUCCAGAGUCUUUUAAUCAAAUCUGAUGGAAAUUUGCAUGAGCUUGCUAAAGUAUUAAGUUUAUGAAUGAGUUGUUUUGACAUACUGAAAGGUAAUCAUAAGUUAGAUUUGAAAUUUGAUUUUUCCUUUGUAAUUAUAGCCUCGGUUAAUCAAUCUCUUUGGUGCUUUAUGGUUAUCUAAAUUACAUAAUAUCUUUUUAGAAUAAAUAAGCUUUUUUGCUUCCAAUUUAUGUCCAGAUAAUGUGUAAAGUUGAUGACUGAUCCUUCCUAGUAAUUCUGGUUCUCAUGAUGGAUAAUUCCUUUAUUGAUGAUCUAAAACUCUAGUUAAUGAGAGGCAUAUAAACUGUGUUGUAAUUCUUUUAGUUACACCUUUUAUAUCUAUGGCAUGUCUAUUAACAUUUAUUCUUAUGUCUUUGACAUUUUCUUACAUCUAGAUUUAGAUUCAUUUAUUUGAAAUAUAUGCAAUUUUGUUUGGCAGAAAGACGUGUUUAGUUAUAUAAAUAAUGUGGAUCUCUUAAAAUUCGGAAACAUACCCACCUUAUUUCCAUGAUUAUUUAUGCUUUGAAUUGAACUAAGUUAUAUUCUUUUUUUUUCUGCAGCUUCUCAACACCUGAUUGUUCAAAAGAUCCUACAAGAACCUGUCAUUGAAGAGAGUAUAUAGAGCUGAUAUUAGCGACUAAAUGUUUAUGAACAAGAGAGAUACAUUCAUAUUUUUUCAGUUAUUUAAAGAUGUCCUCUUCUAUACAUGUCAUGGUUCCUUCUUUUUCUACAAUUGUAAUGUUGUAGAAGUGAGAUUGAUAUAUCUUUGAUAAUAAUGCUUAGUUCUUCGUAAUAAACUAUGAAAUAUUUUAUGAGUAUUGAUUAUAUAGUACAUUUUCAGAUGUAUUUAUAUAUUAAGAGUGUGGGCCUACAUAUAAAACACUAAUGUAGAUUGGGUUAGUUUUUGUAAUUAAUGAUUUUUAAUGAUGGGAAUAACAAUUUACGAAAGGAAUAUUUUGUUGUCGCUAAAACACUUUUAACGACAGAGCCUUUAACGACCGGCAACAACUGGAAAUUUUCCGGUUGUUAUUGACUAAUGACAACGGGAUCAAGGCUUUUAGCGACCGGAUUUCCUCUCGUUGAAGACCUAUUUUCCUGUAGUGCCAAGGUAAAUCUUUCUCAGAAAUCCUUAACUUUGAAUCCAUAUUAUUGAAACUUUGACCAACGUGAUAAUUCAAACGUGUAUUUGACCAUUAUCUCAAUUCCUUUUGUUAGUCCAGUACGUGACUAACUUUGAUAAGCUUCAAUUAAGGCCUUAAUUGGGUGUGACGGAGUCAAUUCUGUGGUGGCAAACUGGCUUGGGUUUCAGAAACCUGUCUAUUCUGGGCGCUCUGCAAUUAGAGGCUUUGUUGAGUAUCCGGAAAAACAUGGGUAUCAGCCUAAGUUCCACGCGUAUUUUGGAGGUGGAGUUCGGUUUGGAUUUCUUCCUAGUGAUGAGAAGAGUUUGUACUGGUUUUGCACAUUCACACCAUUUGUUGUUCAUUGUAGCCAGCUCCUACAUACUGUUUCUUUUGAAAUUUUACUUUUUGAAGGAUAUUUUUGUUGGCUAGAGAGCUUACCUCUCUGAAGGGGGAGCCUUGACGUAAUUGGUAAAGUUAUUGUCAUGUGACCUAGAGGUUACGGAUUUGAGCUGUGGAAACAGCCUCUUGCAGAAAUGUUGGGUAAGACUGCAUACAAUAGAUCCCUGUGGUCCAGACCUUCCCCGAACCCUGUGCAUAGUAGGAGCUUAGUGCACCGAGCUGCCCAGAUAGCUUACAUUUCAUAAACUAGUCAUGUUUAGUUGUUCAUUUUUAAUUGGUAUUUUAUGCAGUUGAUGGAAAUGCAGAACAAGAUCCAAUGAAAUUGAAGCAAUUCGUGUUGAACAAGGCUAGUAAUGUGUCUAAAGAACUCUCCACCAUUAUAGACAGAACUACGCUCGACUGUAUAUCUAUUGCUCAGCUGAAAUUGAGGUUGCCAUGGAAUGUUCUGCUUGGAAUAUUUAGAAAAUAACGUUUGCGUGGUAGGUGAUGCACUUCAUCCCAUGACUCCUGAUCUUGGUCAAGGUGGAUGUUCUGCUUUAGAGGACAGUGUUGUUAUCGCAAAGUGCCUCGGAGAAGCCUUGAUAAAACCGAUAACAGAACAAGAGAUGAUGAAUCUACGAAGAUUAGAAAAGGACUCGAGAAGUAUGCUAAAGAGAGGAGAUGGAGAAGUUUUACAUUUAUCAGUGCUGCUUAUUUAUCUGGUUUCAUACAAGAGAGUGAUAACAAGAUAAUCAGUUUCUUAAGAUUUUGGCUGGAGUCACUAUAUCAGUUACACUAAGAAUUGCUAACUUCGACUGCUGAAGAUUAACUGUUUCUUAGUUGCUCAAUUGGAUCCUUUAGAAGCUAUGAAUAUCCUUUAUGGACUUUGUUUAAUAUCUUUCUAGCAUACAUGUUCUGGUUUAGUUAUGUCUAAGUAAGACCGAAUCAGAUCCUUAUUUUACAAUAAUAAAAUUGUGUCCUUCAUCAAAGAUAUCCAACAACAUCAGUUGUUUAGAAGCAAAUAUGGUAAAAGCUGCAUUUUAUUAUUAUCAUGGAAAACAGUGUUAAAGGUAAAUCUCUGAAGUAUAGAAUAAGUGUUUUCUUAUCUGAGAUCAUUUUGUGCAAUUAGAUACUACUCCUUCUAUUUCAAAUCUGGUUUUGACUUGACACGAAGUUUAAUAGAGUAAAGAAGAUCACUUUUGUAUCUUGUGGGCUCAAAUUUAAAAUAUGUUGAAUGUACCAUUGACCACUACUUGGUUCAAUGACUUCCAAAUUCCACAUCAUUGUUUUGUUACAUACUCUUAAGUAGAUGUAUGAGGAAAUGCAGGUGUCAAAUCAUGUCUUUAAUUAAUGUUGUAUAGUUUCUCUCAUUGGAAAUUUGUAAGAAGUCUGCAGAAAAUUUCUGUACAGUGUGUGUUACGUAACGGGAUCAUUUCACAUCGUCUUGCGUAACACACACUGUAGAGAUAGUCAAUGACCUCGAAAUGAAAACAAUAUUUAGAGAAAAUUAGGACAUAGUGAGUAUUAUUUGGUUAAGUCUUACUUCGUCGUCUAAAAAGUCUUGUGGAAUAAUACAAAAUAUGAGUAACAAGUUACUCAUUUUAGUAGAAUGAGCCACCCGCUAACCUGUGACUUAGAGAUAUGGAGGCGAUCCUCAAAUGUUUAGAAACAAAUAUUUGCUUCAGAAUUUGUCUGUAUAGAGAAACAGAUCCACAAUUAGUAAUAUAGAGAUAUUGUGUGUGCUUUAAUUUCUGCUGUAUUGUUUGAUCUUAGUCAAGGACCUGGUCCCUUGACCCCAGCGGGUGGAUUCAUACGAUUCGUGGCUCGAUCCUUAACUGGUUUAGCUACAUGAGAUGGGAUUCAUUGUCGCACCUAAACCUUUCACAUAAUUCACCUACAAGAAACGUAAUAUAGAUCCUGUAUAAUAUUAACAAGUAAUGUUGGAAUAAUCUCAUGAUUUUUUUUUUUUUGUGGUCUAUGUAAGAACCUUGCUAUUUUUAGCAUUUGCUUCGACUAAUGAUUUAGUUAUUUUCCGUCUCAUCAUAUUUGUCCUUUUUUUCCCCUGUAGUCUUUGUGGAAAUUGGCUUAAAGACUUGGAAGUUUUUUAAACAUCUAUUUCUACUACAACUACAUGGAUGUGAAAAGUCUGGAAAAUUAUAGAAUGUGACUCACAAGUGGGAAAAAUUCCACACGGUAUCAUUAAUGUUACAUCCUAGCAACUCCAGAGAAGCUACCUGAACUGUAUCAUAUUUCUCCCUUUGUUUCCCUGUAGUUUUUGUGGAAAUUGGCUUAAAGUCUUCGAAGUUUUUUAAACAUCUUUUUCUACUACAACUACUUGGAGUUUCUCCUCAUUAACUUAGUCAAGAAAUAGAAAUUUGUUACAAGUUCUGCAACAAAUUUUUCUACCGUGUGUGUUACGUAACGGGACCAAUUCAUAUCAUCUUAGGUGACACACACUGCAGAGAUGGUCGAUGACCUCGAAAUGAAUACACAUCUAGAGAAAAAUUAGCUAGAACAUAGGUGAGUAUUAAUUAUUUUCCCAAAGUCAUUUCCGUUUUCUAAAAAGUCUUGUGAAACACUACAAAAUACAGAGUAACAAGUAGACAUUUUAAUUUGUAUAAAGUUGAACAAAUAGACACACAUGUCCUACGUGACAUCCUACAUGUCAUUUUUUAUCCUACGUAGUGUCCUACGUGUAUUAUGUCAUGUAGGACUCAUGUGUCUACUUGUUCAACUUUAUACAAGUUUAAGUGCCUACUUGUGCAUAUCCAAAGUUGAAGGACAUAAACGUAAAAUGAGGCCAAGUUAAAGGGCACAUUUAUGUUUAAUGCCUUUUUGGAAAUAGACUUCUGAGGGGGAAAGUACCCCAUUUUAUUUAAUAAAAACUACAUAAUUAGACAUACUUAACUACCAUAUAUACAUAUAUUAUCUAUAGUUUAAAAUAUUACUCUUAAUACCACUUUUUAAUAAUUAUACCAUAUAUUUUAAAAAAGUUAAAUCUUAUAUGAUAUUGAAUAAUUAUCUUAAAAUUUAAACUCCUUAAUAGAAGGUACAUUAACAAUUAACCUCCCUCAAUUAGGGGUGUGCAUUCGGUUUUUCGGUUUGGUUUUACACUAUUCGGUUUGGAUUUUCGGUUUUUGGUUUUGUAAAAAUGUAACCCAAUCCGAUCCAAAAUAAAUUUGGUUUGGUUUGGUUUUCCUCUAUUCAGUUCGGCUUUUUUCGGUUUGGUUAUUCGGUUAUGUCAAUAAUUAAUAAAAAAUAAACCAAACCAAAAAACCAAACAAAGUAAUUUAUUAAUCCAAAACCAAUCUGAAAAACCAAAAAACCAAUCCAAAUAAAAAUUCGGUUUGAUUUGGUUUGGUUAUUCAGUUUAAUCCGAAUAGUGCACACCCCUACCCUCAAUCUCCUUCACCAACUAUAUAUCUCCUCCCCCCAAACCCCACGUCCUCUGCCAUUUUUUCUCUCUUCCUUCGUCCUCCUCAUAAUAUCUAAUAAAAACGAUUUUGGUUCAUAUUUGAAUCCCAGGUGUAUCUACAUGUCCUAUGCACAUGUCAUUCUUCCAUAUGUCUGAUGUUUGUGUAUCCAAAUGUCUUAUGUAUCUUCCUUUCAUCUAUAUAUCUACCGUUCUUCUCCUUAUUCUAUGUAUUUUGUUUAUUUAUUAAAUGUAUAUGUAUUUUCUAUUAAAUAUAUAUGAGUUGUAGAGUUCAUAUUGCUCUAAAGUUUGAUUUUAUAAACUUUUACAAAUUAGGUUUUACAUUGUUUGCUAGCUUUUGUUGUUUCUCAAAUUUUAAUGAAUGACCAUUCAUAAAACAGGUCGAAAAUAGAUCUAAGUUUAAGAACGAUCCUUUAAAAUUGUUGAAUACAUGUAUCUCACCUUUAAUUCAAAUUAAUAGCACGUAUCUCGAUUUUUAAUACUGUUGGAUACACAUAUCUCACUUUUAAUGAUACAUGUAUCUCGCGGUCAUGAUUUGUUCCUAAAAUUUGUGUGUUUCAGUUGCAUUUUAUAUUUAGAUCCACAUAAUCACAUGUCUAUACUUACUAUGUAUUCGAGAUACAUGUUUUUGAAUAUAAUGUAUGAAAUUGAUACAUCAAAUUAAUACUAGAUACGUGAAAUUAAAACUAGAUCAUAUAAAUAGAUACAUGAAAUUAAUACUUGACACAUAUAACAAAUACACGAAAUUAAUACUAGAUACUUCUAUGAUACAUAUGAAUGUACUUGUAUAAUACUCAUGUAUCUAAGUAUUUAGUUUGUUGGAUACAUCAUAUAUAGAUAAUAGAUACAUCAAAUUAACGAAUUUAUUAUUUUAAGAGUACUAAAUGAAAUUAAUCAAAUUACAUGACCAAGAUAUACAUGCUUUUGUUUAUUACUAAUAAUAUAAUGAAUUUAUUAUUUCAAAGGAUAAUUUUGAAAUAAUAAAUUGAAAUUAAUUAAAUAUAGAUACACUCCUUGAUUUCCGCCUUAUGAUAAGCGAUUUGAUUAAUUUAAAUUUUCAGAAUUAAUUAUUCAUGUAUAUCCUUAAUUACUCCUCUAAUUAAGGAAAUUGGUUACAACCUAUUAAUUCAAACAAAUAAAAUAUGUAUCUCAUACAUGUAUCUCCAGAUUCAAUCUCAUGUAUCCUAAGUAUGAAAAUAUGGUAGAGGAAGUAAUAUUUGAAACUAUCGGGAAUCUUAGUAAUUAGGACCUAAACUAGUGGGAUUUAUGUAGUUUGCCCUUUUAUUUAUCUGGAUAUUUUUCUUUAAUUUAAACCUCACACUUCCAUAGACUAGUCAAAAACAACAUCAAUAAUAUCCCUUAAGUCGGGAUUUAAGAAAGGUAAAUCUGAAGUAUUUUAAAAGUGUUGGCUUAUCUGAGAAUUAGAUGUUACUUCCUCCGUUUCAAUAUGUCUGUAUGUAUGGUUUUCACUUGACAUGGAAUUUAAUAAAAAAAUAAAAAAAAUUAUAUCUUGUGGUCUAAAAUUAAAAUAUGUAGAAUGUACCAUGACCCACUGUUGACACCCAAUUUUGGCCUAAUAUUUUCAAAAAUUCAUAACUUUUAAGUUUUAUUUAUUUAAUAGUUCAAGAUAAUUUUUUUUAUAAUUUUAAAUAAGUUUAUCGAUAACUAUUCUUAUUUAUCAAAAUUUAGAAAUUUUUUUUCCUAGUUAAUCUUAAAAUUACACUUUUUACAUGUCAUUAGUUAUGUUCAUUACAUUUUUUAAUAUUUAUUUUUAAUAUAGUUCAGAAAUUCAUUUCGAUGUGGAUAAAAUUUCUUACACAUAUAUUUUGGGCCACAACCUUGAGCCCAUGACUUGGGCCCAUUGAUAAUUUCCAAUUCUCUACAUAUAGAACUAACACAUUAGGUUAAAGGGGGUGGUGAAUUUAUUUUUAGAAUAAGGUCAUAAACUUUUCAGAUUUUUGUUCACAAGGGGUUUCCGGUCACCACCACCCCGGAAUCCGGCGAAGCUCCGGCAAUACAAAACCCCGACUCAAAACCUCCAUUUUCUUUCCUUCACUGUUCAUCCUUAAAGAAAACACCACCAAAGAACCUCCAAAAUUCGUCUUCUCUCCCCAAUGCCGUUUCCGGCAAGACAACGAACCAAAACAUCCACCAAACCCAUCUUUGUUCCCUUUCUCAUUUUCCGGUGAAAUAAAAACGACCCUAAAUCCACCAGAAAUCCCACACAAACCAGACCACCACAAAAACCCCUCGGAACCGGUCCCUUCCCCUCUCCCUUUUUACGAUUUUUAGUCCAUUUUUGCAAGUACUCCGGCGAGGUCUCAAAGCUCCAGAACCCAUCUUCGGCGAAACGACGCCAAUAACCACAAACUCCGGCGAAGCUUCAUGCCAUGGCUAUGACGACGGUCAGCAACAACAAACCACCAUGAAAUAACCAAAUCCGGCCUUCUAAGAGAAAAAACUUUCAGAUCUGCCCGGAAAGGUAAUAAUUUUGACAACCGUAUUUAGUCAUUGUUUUGUUCUCAUGUUUAUACUAAUUAUUGUAUUAUUUUUCAUAAUGUUGUGUUGUUACACAUAAUUUUAUCAUUAUUGCUAUCAUUAUUUGUGUAUAUUGUGGGUUUGUCUCCAUUUUAUAUUGUUAUUUUCCUUGUAUUUAUUUGAUGAGUUAUUUAGUCACAGUUGGAGUAAUUGUGUUCUGCUUUAAUUAUAUGUUGGUAUUUAAUUAUUAUUGUUGUUAAUGUUCAUUUUGUGGGUUAUCCGCUUUAUAUUAACUAUGCACUAGUUAUUAUUAGUUGUUAUUUUUUAAUUUUUCGUGUUGAGUUUUGUUAACUAUGUUAUUAAUCUUUGCAAAUGUUGGAAAAAUAAAGAAAUAUUCAGCAACUUUAUUUUGGUUUCUGGAUGACACGUAAUGUUACUUGUGACAUAUAUAUAUUUAAUUUAUUAUGCUGCAAUCAUUUAGAUUUUCAAAAGUUGGGUAGUAAUUAGUUUUUUAUAUAUUCUUUAUUACUUAUUGGUUGUUAUCUUGUUUUCUUGUUAUUUUGGACCACUAUAAUGUUGUAUAUCGUUGGUUUGAUUAUUCUGUUGUUGAAGAUUUAUUCCAAUGGAGUUUACAUUAUUUUAAUAUUGGCUAAUUUUGAUUAUCUAUUACGUUCUUUCAUUCGCUAAAUUUUUGUUUGAUGCUACACUUGUUUAUAUAUUUACUUGUUAAAAUUGGCCAAUGAAAAAAUCUCUCCGUCGAUUUUGGAGGCCUCCAUAUUGUAAAAGACGGAAAUUUAGUUUAAGUUCAUAUUUGUUACAAGUUGAAAUUGACCAAUGAGAAAAUCUCUCCAUAGAUUUUGGAGGCCUUUACAUUGUAAAAAACGGAAAUUUAGUUUAAUUUCAUAUAUUUUGUUUGUUCAAAAUGGCCAAUGAAAAAUUCCUCCGUCGGUUUUAGAGGCUUUUCCAUUUUUUAAAGACGGAAAUUUAGUUAAUGUUUAUAUUUUUAUAUGUCAAAAUCGGCCGAUGAAGAAAUUACCGUCGAUUUCCAAGGUCUCCCAUUUUAAUAAGACGAAUUUUUAUUUUUUAAGUUAUUGUACAAUUCAUUUAUUUUUAUUCAUAUUUAUUUAUUACUAACACUUUUACUAAGUAUCUUUAUAGGUACCCGGAGCUGCUUCCCAUUGAAGCUAUUCGAACAAAGUUCGAACAAUAUUUUGAUUCAUUGUCGUAUAUUAUUGACGAUAGACAAAUCUAGGUUGUUUCUUAUAUUAUUUUAUUUUAUUACUUGUGUAUCUUGUUAUGUUUGUUUUAUUUAUAUAUUAUUUUUAUCUCCUCCUCAAUUUGAAAAAGUGAACUCAGUCGGGACCCACAAUUGUGGAUUUCGAAGGAUGCCUAACCCCUUCCCUUCGAAAUAACUUGAAUCCCUUACCUAGAAUCUCUUGGUUUCGUAGAUUAAUUAAUUGGUUUCCUAGUUUUCCUAAAAUUAGGUGGCGACUCCUUUAACAUUCCUUUAAUCAAAAAAUUUUUUUAAAAAUUGAAUCAAUUGUUUAUUUUUUGAGUCAUCGCGACGUUUCGUCCUAUUCGAAUAGAGUAGGGAUGUAAACACCCACUAAUUGGUUCAAUGACUUCAAAAUUCCACUGGAACAUUGUCUUGUUAAAUCAUGUCUUCAAUUAUUGUUUUUUUAUUUUUCUCACUUGACUUAGUCAAGCAAUAGUAUCUCUCAUUGGAAAUUUGUUACAAUUCACAUUGUUUUGCAUAACACUCACUACAAAGAUAGUGGAUGACCUCAAAGUGAAACAACAUUUAGAGAAAACAAAUAUGAAAUAAUUGGUACUAGCAACCAAAGACUUUGAGUCUUUAUGGAACUUGACUUAACAUUAGGGACUAAAAAAGCAACAUAGUGGAUGACCUCGAAAUGAAAACAACAUUUAGAGGAAAAAACUAUGGAAUAAUUGGUACUAUAGCAACCAAGACUUAAAAGACUAAAAGACUCAUUAAUGUUGCAUUACAUGCAUAUUCUAAGUAAUGUUGCAUUACAUGCAUAUUCACACGGUAUCAUUAAUGUUGCAUUAAAUGCAUAUUCUAAGUAAAGACAGGAGUUAAAUCAUGUCUUCAAUUAUUGUUCUUUUUAUUUUUUUCACUUGACUUAGUCAAGCAAUAGUAUCUCUCAUUGGAAAUUUGUUACAAUUCACAUUGUUUUUCAUAACACACACUACAAAGAUAGUGGAUGACCUCAAAAUGAAAACAACAUUUAGAGAAAACAAAUAUGAAAUAAUUGGUACUAGCAACCAAGACUUUGAGUCUUUAUGGAACUUGACUUAACAUUUGGGACUAAAAAAGCAACAUAGUGGAUGACCUCGAAAUGAAAACAACAUUUAGAGGAAAAAAAAUAUGGAAUAAUUGGUACUAUAGCAACCAAGACUUAAAAGACUUGAGUCAUUAUGGAAAUUGACUCAACAUUUGGGACAAUUUUUUUUACAACCACAAAUUAGUUUGUGGUAGAUGGGGGGCAAGUACCCCAUUGAGUUCGAAUCAUGAAGUUAGUAUCCGAGACAUGUAUAAUACACAAUUGCAAAUAGUAUGGACAAGAGGGGGUUGCUUAGGUGGUAGCACCUUCCACCUCUUAGCUUAAUGUUAAUUAUAUAUACUACUUUAUUCAUGUUUUAGUUUGACUCGGUGAAGAAGAUUCUUGAAUUUUGAUUGAUUAUGGGAGAAGGCGUGGAAAAAAACUCUAAAAAUUAUGUACUGAUAUUGUAUAAUAUUUUCCAUCUAUAUUGUUAUGAUUAAAGUCCUAACAAGAAUGUGUAUGUUGUAUUUUUUUCUUCUCUAUUUUUUUAUUGUUUGUUUUUCUUUCUAUUAGACUACUUUAAUUCGAUUUUAUAUGAAUUUCUGAAUGUCGUAAAUAUGUAUUUUUAAUUGGUGACUUGAUUGAAAUUUUGCUAACUAGUAACUAAAAUUUAAAAUUUACCGUUACUAGCAUGAAAGGAAUUAAAUUUUAAACAAUAAAAUACGACCCUCAUUUAAUGUUCUUGUCACAAUACUUUUAAAUUAUUGUUUUUAUAAUUAUUGCAUUUUAUUACUCAUUAGAGGAAUAUUUUCACAAAAAUUACACAAGUGUAACUCAUAAACUAGUAUAUAUAUGUGGAUAAUGAUGAUUGAUUUGUAAGAACGAACAUUCUGUUAUUUGUUGAAUACAAUUUUUUUUUUAAAAAAAGAUGGGAAUUCUCUUUUUCUUUUAUUCACUUGUCUGUUUUUUGUUGGUAAUUAGUGAAAGCAUUUCUUCUUCCUCUGUGAUGAUGCAUCAUGUUUACUCUCCCACUGAAGCUUUUGCUUUGCUUCACUUCAAACAAUCCUUUCAAAUCUCUGACCAACCUAGCUGUUGGGAUGAGACUGAUCUGCAUUAUGAGAGAUAUUUUGAUAUCCCAAAAACAAAGUCUUGGAAUGAGAGUAGGGAUUGCUGCAGUUGGGACGGGGUCACUUGUGACAUGUUAACCGGUCAUGUUAUCGGAUUGGACCUUAGUUGCAGUUUGCUUUUGGGUACUAUUCAUCCCAAUAGCAGCCUCUUCCAACUCCAUCAUCUCCGGACACUAAACCUUGCUUGCAAUGACUUGUAUUCUUCUUCAAUCCCGCAUAACAUUGGCCGAUUGAGGAAUUUGAGGCAUCUCAACCUUUCUUAUUCUUUCUCUGGAGGGGAAAUCCCAACAGAAAUAUCAUACCUUUCCAAUUUGGUUUCACUUGACCUUUAUUGUUAUGAAUGUGAACUUGAUGAGAGAACAUUUGAAACAAUUCUUCAAAACUUCACAAAUCUGGAGGUAGUUUCUCUCUAUUGUGUCAACAUCUCAUCUUCAAUACCUGUGAAUAUUUCUUCGUCCUCGUUAAGGUACGUGAACCUUGUAAAUACUAAUCUGCGAGGUGUUAUCACAGAGAGCUUUUUCCUUCUGCCAAAUUUGGAAAGGCUCUAUUUGAGUUGGAAUGAUCUUCUCAAAGGAGUUUUACCAAAGAUCCACCCGAGCAACACUCUGUUGGAGUUGGAUAUUUCCUACACAGGAUCUCCGGUGAGCUGCCUGAUUCAAUUGGCACCUUGAGUUCAUUGAAUCUCUGAACAUGUAUAGAUGCCAAUUCUCUGGUUCCAUUCCUGAAUCCAUUGGCAAUCUUACACAAAUGCGGAAAUUGAAUUUUGGAAAUAAUCAUUUCACCGGCUAUAAUCCUUCCACAAUCUCUAAAUUGAAGCACCUCACAUCCCUAGACCUUUCGUCCAACUCCUUUUCAGGUGAAAUUCCCGAUAUUUUUUCUAACCUCCAAGAGCUAUGUUAUUUAUCUCUUUUUGACAACAGCUUCAUCGGUUCGUUUCCUUCUACAAUUGUAAGAUUGACACAACUUCAACACUUAGACUUGUCGCACAACUCACUGAAUGGUACCAUACCAUCUUCGGUCUUUAGCCUCCCUUUGCUAUCUUCAUUGUCGCUCCAACAUAAUCAAUUUAGUGGACUAGCCGAUGAGUUCAAAACAAACCCAACAUUAGAACACCUAGAUUUAAGCCAUAAUCAACUCAGUGGUUCUUUUCCUCAGUCACUUGCGAGUCUCACAAACCUUUCUACCCUCAUCCUUUCAUCAAAUAACAUCACCGUCAAUGAGGGAAUACAAAUCACUUUUCCUAGCCUAGAAGUUUUACAGUUAUCGUCUUGUGAACUGAAGGAUUUUCCACACUUCUUGACAAAUGUGAAGUCACUUAGGAUCUUGGAUAUUUCUAACAAUAAGGUUCGUGGCCAAAUCCCAAACUGGUUUAGCGGCAUGAGGUGGGACAACUUGUGGUACCUAAACCUUUCGCAUAAUUCUUUAACAGGCCACCUACAACUAUUUCAUUUCCAUAAUCUAGAGUAUCUUGAUCUUAAAUUUAACUCCCUUCAAGGUCCAAUACCUUCAUCCAUUUGUAACAUGAACGAUCUUCAAUUUCUACUUUUAUCACACAACGACUUCAGUAACUCGAUUCCAAGUUGCUUGGGAAGCAUGUCUAGUCUAACAGUGUUGGACUUAAGAAGGAACAAUUUCACUGGGAGUCUUCCAUCGUUAUGUGCGCAGAGCACUUCAUUGAGUACCAUUGUCUUGAAUGGUAAUCAAUUUAAAGGAACUCUCCCUGUGUCGUUGCUCAACUGCAGUGGUUUAGAAGUUCUUGAUUUGGGGAAUAACGCUAUAAAUGACACAUUUCCUGCUUGGCUAGGAACACUUCAACAACUGCAGGUCUUAAUAUUAAAGUCCAAUGUGUUCCAUGGACCAAUUAGUACUUGUCAGAGUAGGUUUUGCUUUCCCAAGUUGCGAAUUUUUGAUCUUUCGCAUAACAAAUUCAGUGGCUCUCUACCUGCAAAAGUUUUUGGAAACUUCAAGGCAAUGAUUAAAUUAGACGGUGAAGACACACGAGAGAUCAUGUACAUGAUGCCAUCUAUAAUGCCAUUUUACUCAUCAUCAUAUGAGGAUUCUGUGAGUUUGGUGAUCAAAGGGCAGGAUAUUGAGCUAGAAAGAAUCAGCACAAUUAUGACAACCAUAGACCUCUCGUGUAACCAUUUUGAAGGUGUCAUUCCGAAAACACUAAAGGAUCUCAGCUCACUUUGGCUACUCAAUUUAUCCCAUAACAAUCUCAUAGGUCAUAUUCCAAUGGAAUUGGGGAAAUUGAAUAAGCUUGAAGCAUUAGAUCUCUCUUGGAAUCGGCUCACUGGAAAGAUUCCGCAGGAAUUGACAAGGCUAACAUUUCUGGAAAAGUUAAACCUUUCUCAGAAUGUUCUCGUUGGACCAAUUCCUCACGUUCUACAAUUCAACACAUUUGUAAAAUAGACUCGUAUGGCGGUAACCUUGAUCUAUGUGGUCCUCCUUUAUCAAGCAAUGUGGAACGAAGUGAUCUAUCCCAUGUUCCUCAACCAUUGGAGUCUGAAGACGAGUCAUAUUUUUUUAGUGGAUUUACGUGGGAAUCAGUAGUCAUUGGCUACAGCUGUGGACUAGUUGUUGGAACUGUUGUGUGGAGCCUCAUGUUUAAAUAUCGUAAGCCCGAAUGGUUUGUCAAUUUUUUUGAAGGCAUUUAUCCCAAGAAAAUGAGAAUGUCAAUGAAGAGAGCUCAGAGACGACGGACUUAAUGGAAGAUUGCAGGAGUGGACUUUUCUGUUUUUUUAAUCUUCUUUUUGUUGUUUGUAUAUGCUUGAUAGCAAUAUAAUUGCAUGUAUUGUUUUGUGAAUUUCCACUGCAUUAAAAUUAGUGUUCUCCAAUCAAUAAUUCCUUUAGCAUAUAUAAAAAAAUUAAAACUCAAAAUAAGAACAAGAGGACAUAAAACAUAACUUUCCUUUGUACUAAAACAAUUUAUUCAAUUACAUUCUUGAGUUUAAGCAACUUCAACAUGUUUGAUAAUAUCAUCUGAUCAAAUAAUUUAUAUUAAAAAUGAUGGAUUUAAGAUCACUCAAAUCCUCUUAUAAAUUGAUUAUUGUAUAAUGGUGAUCCUCAUGCCUUCCCUUAAUUGAGAGAAUGAGCCAAAGUUGUCAUGACAUGAGCUUGAUCUGAAAUAAUUUGUGUAGUUGAAGGAUUUUGUCCCAAAACAAUAUAAUACAAUAACCAUCAUCAUAAUUAUCCAUUCCAUGUGCCAUUAGUUGCCAUACUAAACUUCCUCCCAUAUUGUUCCACCUUCUUUUGCCAAAUUAUACACAUUUCUAUAUACACUACUCAUAAAUAUAUCUCUUGAUCCUUGACCUCUACUAGACUUUCCAAAUUCAGCAAGCACUAAAGGUUUCUUUAAUAUAUUUCUUGCAUCUUCCCAAUGACUUGUUAUCCACUUUUCCAUCCACACCAAUUGUGCUUCAUCACUUUGUCCAGAUACCCUAUAACGAUCGCUAUAAAGAAAUAUUUAGACCUAUUUAAUGAAAACAUAUGAAAUUGUACGUAGAGAAAAGAUGUAAAAACUACCAUUGGUCAGUGUAUGCAUGGAUAGUAGCAAAAUCAAUCUCAUUGAUAAGAUGGUUACUAAUGAAAUCUGUUCCAACUUGAUAGCCAGGAUUAACUGAUUUUCUUUCAGGAAUUGAAUCACCAUAAAAUCCCUCCAUUCCAACCUCUAACAAGUGCUUGUUGUCUAAUGACUUCACAAAACUUGCCAUUUCUUGAACCCAAUAUUAGUCAUUUAACAAUAUUAGUCAAAAACGUCAAUCACAAAUUUGAUAUUUCUAAAAUUCAAUUAAUUAAACUUGAAUUGGGACUUACAUUAACAGUUUUUCCUGAAUAGUCAGCUUGAUCGCGAGGCUCAUUUAUGAGUUCCCAUGCCAUAAUUGUUGGAUCAUCUUUGUAAGCAACUUUAGUAAUACUAUUCAACCUUGUACCCACUUUCUGUAACAAUUUCAUAAUAUUAUUAAUAAAAAAAGUUGUUUAUAUGUAUUAAAUAAUAAUUACCCCAUAUAUUCCUCAAUAUGGUUCUUCAAGUAUUUUUUGAGCAUAGGAUGAGUAUAGAAUUCAUCGUCAUUACUAAUCUGAGCUCCUGCAUUUCGUGCCCACCAAACAUAUUGAGCUUUUCCUCCAAAAUCAUUCCAUUGAUUUACAAAGCUCAAGAUUAAAUGAACACCAUAUUUCUUAGCUUCCGCGAUCACAAAAUCCAAACCCUAAAUUUAGAACAAGUAUAUCUAAUCAAGGGACUGAUCACAUGCAUUACAACGCGAUAAUGUAAAAAAGUUAUCAAAACUAUAAUAACAAACGUCCUUUACCUGAAAAACACGUUCAUCAUAAACACCAGGUGAUAUUUGUAAUGCUCUAUCACCUCCAUCACUAAAAGCCCAAGUACGACAAACAGAAAGACCAGCGGUAGAAGCAUCUUUAAGAACCUCAGUGACUUUGUAUCUUUCAGUAGGGUCAGCAGAAACAUGCAUCAACCAAUAUGAGUUGAAACCAUUGAAUAGAAAAGGGGAUCCAUUGAGUUCAAAAUGAGAAUCUUUAACUCCUAUAACCCCGAAUUUGCUUCACAAGCAAGAGCUAAGAACAAGAGAAAGAGCCCAAAAAUGCAACUUCUUUUUGUAUAAGACAGUUUGUAUAAUGAAUUGUAGAAGAUAUAUGUGUGAUAUGUUAGAUGUCACCUUUUAUAGUGUGUUGAAGAUAAGGAAAUUUACUAAAAAUAGCAAAACUUGCAAAAACUAAAAAAAAUUCCUAGUGGAUAUAAUUGGAUAUUGAGAUUUUAUGAAAAAAUAUAUUUUUUAAGGCAGUUAUUUGGUUAAGAUAGAAACAGAGUUUUGUUGAAAAAUUUGUAUGGGAAGAAAAGAAGAAGAAAAAUAUGGAAACAUUAAUUGGUUAGUUUUUUUUAAGGUUUGUUCACUACUAGAUUUGAUGAUGAAAUAAUACUGAAACGUGUACUCAUAGUAUUUGAUAGUAAUAUACUUGAAUAUAUAAUGCAAAUACCUGAAGAACUCUUUCAUAAAUUUUAAUUUCUAUGUGGAUGUGUUAUGUGUGUAAUUUAAUCUUAUUUUAUUGCAAGGAAUUGAGACAAAAUAAAAAUAAAAAUAAAAAUAUUUUUAAAAAAAAGUUAAAAGAGAAAUGAAGAGGGCAUAACAUUAUUUGGGGUUAUUCGAAAUAAGAUGUUCUGACCACUUAUAAAAUGAAUAUGAAAAAAAUAACAUUUUAAAAUUUCUUAUGUCUAAAAAUUAAAAACUCUCGUAAAAAAUCAUAAAAUUAAAAUAAAAUAAAAUUGUAGUGGCCUACAAUUUACAGAAACUCAAUUUAUAUACUUGAUUAGAAUAUGGGUACUUUUAGUUCCAUUGUUUGAGAAGUGGAGAAAAGGAAUUUAGGAAGAUGCAUUCUUAAAGAAUAAGUGGAUUACUUAUUUAUUUUCUGACGUGAAUAAGUGAAUUUCUUACUUAUUUUUUGGUGUCAUAUUUAGGAUCUUUGAUGUUUAUUCUAUGCACAUUUGACAAAUUUCAUAGUCCAUAUGAGAGCGGCGACUAUCGCAUUGAGGACUAUAUGUCCCAAGUAUCGUUUUGGAUGAAGUAGUUACGAAUUUAAACUUAGAAUAUGCGAAUUUAAAAUAAGUGUGAUCUUAUUAUACAUGAAGGCGGAUGCAAUAAUUUAACUAUGAGUUCAGUCAAACUCAAUAUUUUUUUCACAUAACAUAUGUGUAGAAGUCAAAAAAACAAAAACAAAUAGAGAUUAUGUAUCCAUAAUUAAAAAGUACAAUUAGUUCAGUUUAAAUUCUAAAUUCAACCCAGAGUAUAUGUAUAUGGAGUGGAAGUUGAAAACAAUAUGUUCACUUCAACUCAGAACUCGCCCUGAAUCCGCCUCUGGAAGUAACCAAUUAUUCCAGGGCUAUGGAGGAAAAGUUGAAAAGAUUGUCCCCAAAAUACUAUUAUAUACCAAUAUAAAGUAAGAUUUGACUUAUACAGUAUAAUUUUCCGACGAAGAGUGCUCAGCUGACCACCCAGGAACCACCGUAGCUCUGCCCAUGGUCCUGAGAAGUAACCAUCUAUUCUAGGAGUUUGGAGGAAAAGUUAAAAACAUCAUCCCCGAAGCCUGGAUCAGUAAUAGUGAAAUCACAUGGCUGCUGCUGUUGCUGCAAAUUAUCAUCAGUGCAAAUACUGUAAUUCCCAAAUGGACUAGAUUGAAGUACAUUCUUCCACAUAUCACUAUUUUCUUGUUGUAUAUUACUAGUAUAUUUUGGUGUCGAUUCAUAAAAAUCGCUUCCAUCAAACAUCUUUAUUUGAGAAGUCUGGUGCACUAAGCUCUCGUUAUGUGUUCUAAAACAAAAAAAAUAAUUAGCUACGAGCUACUUCAUCCGUUCCUAUUUAGUUGUCCUGUUAGGCUAUUGUUUUACAGAAUUCUUAAGAAAAAAUUAGUUAGGAGUGUAAUUUGACUAAUAUAUAUCUUAUUAAUUUUUUAUCUUUAUUUAUUUCCAUAAAUAUCAUGUCAAGUCAAACGAUGCACCUAAAAUCGAACGAAAAGAGUACUUUUUUUUCUUGAUUUAUUGAAUUGAAAAAUAUUUAAAAAUAAUUAUUUUUAAUAUACACAACAACUAAACGAGACAGUAUUUAGCAAUGAACAAAUGACCAAAUUUGUAGCUAAUUUGGGGUCAUCAUUAGUGUUCAUAUCAGUCCAUUUAAGCUUAUCUUAGUUUUUAAUAAUAUAAGUACUUCAAAUACUCUAUAUCUUCGUGUAUAAAUCUCUUAACAAAAAAUAUAAUUUUCUAAUUAGGCAGCAUAAUUCACUAAGCAUUUCGAGUUCACACAGAAUUUGACAAAAAAUGACUCACUCCAACUCCUAAGUGGUGAGAUCUAAGCCACCUAUACCCUAAUACAAGGAUGUUCAUAAUACAAUUUUAUCGUAUCAUCAAAUUAAACAGUAUCACAUAAAAUAUAACGAAGAAAGUACUAAAAUUUGUAAUAAUUAUUUUACCUUUGUGUGUGAUUGAGCAAGGAAGUGCAAUUAGGACGAACAAAAGCAAGAGCAGCAGCAUCUCCAAAGGUAAAAUAAGAGGUGUCAAAUGGACGAGUCGAGAUGAAUUUUUGAAGAGUUUGUUGAGGAAGUAAGCAUUUUUUUGAUGCAGGACUAUUUAAUUCUUCAGGAGGAUGAGCAAAUGCUUUGUGAAAUAUAGCCAACAUUGUAUCUUUUUUUAGCUUCAAGAUGAAUAUCUAACAACAAUAUAAAAAAAAUGGUUACUGAAGGAGGAUAUAUAUAUAUAAUACACUUUUUACAUUAAUGUUUUUGUUUUUAUUUUUAUUUUUAUAGUAUAAUAAUAAUAAUAAAGGAGGCCAAAGAUGACAUAUGUCAAUUUUAUUUUGGAGUGAUAGUGUGACGUGACAAUGAUGAGGAUGGAUAAGGUUUCUCGUAUUCCCAUGAUGUCUUUAUCCAUUUAGAUUUUAUUAAGAAUUUUAAUAUGAAAUAAUCCAAACUAUAUUAAAUUGAAAAAAUAAUUAAAUCUAAAAAUAUCUCUCUUUAUCACAGUUUGAUUCAAAACUCAGUAUCACUAAUAGUUUAUCCAAAAAUGCUCUUUUCUUAUUUAAUGGAUUAUUUUUUUAAAAAAAAUAUGUAUAUAUAUUAUAUACUAUUAAACACAUUUUAUUUAUUAUAAAAUAAGUUAGUAAUAACUUUUUCUUAAGUCAAAAUAAAAAUAACAUGACUAAAUGUACCUUUUUUUUUUACUAAUAACAUAUAUAUUAUACAUUACAUUAUAUUAUAUCAUAUAUUAUAUUAAAUUAAAUUAAAUUAUAUUAUACAUUAGUAUAAGAGGCUAGAACACACAUGUUGACGAUGACAUGUGUGUUUCUUGGAAUUAAAUUUCUUAUUGAAGGGCAUUCUUGUAAUAUAGUAUUAAAAGAAUUUUAAUAAUUUUCAUAUAUUUAGAAAUUAUGUAAUUAAUAUUAUUAAUUAUAAUAAUUAGUAAUUUUUAAAAAAUAUAAAAAAAAUAUCAGUCAACUCUCAAAUUUUAUUGGUGUCACAUAAAUUGGGAUAAUAGAGUAAAAUUAUUUUUAAUAAUUUAUAUAUUUACAAAUUUUAUAAACUAUAAAUUGCAAUAUAAAUGUCUCUAAAUUUUUUUUUCGAUGAUUAAUAUAUUGUAUAGAAAUUCACAUUAUUUUUUAUUCCUUAUCUGUUUAGUUAUUAUUUAUUUCUCCAAAUAUUUUAUUUCUGAUUAUAGUUUUCUUUUUGUUAAGCUUUAUGUCAGCUGUGGAGGCGAGCCGAAUUAUUUUUUUCUAUAAAAAGGAAGAAAUUGAGCUUAAAACCACUUGAAGUGGGGCCAACAAGCUUUAACAAAUCUGUGGGUGCUUAUAAAAUGUUUAGCGGUCUAUAUUCAAAAUUAGAGGAUAUAAAUAUCAGCUGAAAUUAAAUUAAAUGAUAUUCAUUAUGUCUUUAAUUUAACACUAUUUUAUCCAUUCCAUAUUAGAUAAACACUUUCUAUACUAUAUAGUGAUUAAGAAAUCAUUAAUAAAUUGAUCAACUUUACUAUUUUAUCCUUUAUUCAUAUCAAUUCCUAUCAAAAUAAGUUAGAAAAAACCAUACAAAGAGUAUAGAAAUAACUAGUAUUGAGAAUUGUUCACAUUCAAAAGGCCAUAUUGAUUGUAAUUUGUAGUAAGUGAUUAAGUAAUAUAAGAUAACUAUUUUUAAUAAGAUCCUUAAUAAAAUCGGUUAUUAUUGAUAUCUUCUUUUCGGUUCCUUUUCCAUAAGUCCAUAACCAUUGCUCAGAAAAGAAAGAGAUAAGAAGACUAUGAAAAAUAUGCUCAGAAAUCCAUAAUACAAUCGGCCCAUAACGAUCAAAUUGAUUAUCUUCAUACUCAAAUCGAAGGAGUAUGAAAUUAAAAUAAUAUAUUUUUAAUUUCGAUUUACGUGACAUUGUUUAACUCAAUGUGAUUUUGAAAAAUAGAUUCUUUUUGUGAUCUAAUCAAUCAAUUGUAUGGAUUUAAAAAAUAGUUAAUAUUUGAAAUUUUGCAUGUGCCACAUAAAUUAGAACAAAGAGAGUAAUAAAUAUUAUUUUCAAAAUUCUGUAAAAAAAGGUACUACAAAUCACAAUAGCUAACAAUUUAAAAUAUUUUUACAAUCAUAUAAAAAUUUCAAUAACUUCUCAAAUUUCAUAAUAUAUGACAUAAGAAGAGGGAAUAACCAAUAUAUUUAUAAAAAUAAAUGACAUAUAAAAUGAAAUGGAGAGAGUAUUAGUUUUUGAAAAUGGAAAAGGACAAAACACAUAUAAAAUUAAAACACAUAUAAAAAACAAGUUGGUUUAACUCUCAAACAUAAAAAGUAACAUAUGUUAUUAAAAACUUUAAUAAAAAGUACUAUAAUUUACAAUAAAUAAUAACUUAAAAUAUCUACAAGAGAACAAAAAAAAGACUAAUUUUUGUACUGCUUGUGUCACAUAUAUUAGGAUUGGGAUGAUUUUAAAAUUUUAAUUUUGGUUAUACAUUAUAAAAUAGCCGAAAAAUUGAAUGAUAUAAUUUUUUUUAAAAUAACCGAAUGAAUCGUCCUAUCGAUAACCCUAAUGUUACUUCUACUCUGUUUAUUUUUACUUAAAUUUAGAAAGAUAUGCUUCAUUUCUACCCUCAAUCUUAUCGCUACAUUUAUUUGCUAUUUAAAAUUGAAAUUAAAAAGACAAAUGACAAAUAAGUUUCUAUAUUAGCUCACUUAUGAGCAAAAUAUAUUAUAACAAUCUUUACUAAUUUUAUAACAAUACAUAAACUAUACUCCCUCCGUCCCAUAUUAGAUGGGCACUUCCAACUUUACACGGUGAUUAAGAAAUCAUUAAUACAUUGGAAGACUUCACCAUUUUGCCCUUUCUUUAUAUCAAUGCACAUUGAAAUGAGUUACAAAAAAUACACAUACAAUAUAGGAAUGGUCAUAUUAAUUGUAGGGGUAAAAUGGAAAAGAAUUAAUUAAUUCUAUCCUAAUUUAAUAAGUGCUCAAAUAAUAUGAAAAAUAAAAAUUUAGUAAGAUUCUCAUCUAAUAUGGGACGGAGAGAGUAUUAGUUUUUGAAAAUGGAAAAGGACAAAACACAUAUAAAAUUAAAACACAUAUAAAAAACAAGUUGGUUUAACUCUCAAACAUAAAAAGUAACAUAUGUUAUUAAAAACUUUAAUAAAAAGUACUAUAAUUUACAAUAAAUAAUAACUUAAAAUAUCUACAAGACAACAAAAAAAAGACUAAUUUUUGUACUGCUUGUGUCACAUAUAUUAGGAUUGGAUGAUUUUAAAAUUUUAAUUUUGGUUAUACAUUAUAAAAUAGCCGAAAAAUUGAAUGAUAUAAUUUUUUUUAAAGUAACCGAAUGAAUCGUCCUAUCGAUAACCCUAAUGUUUCUUCUACUCUGUUUAUUUUUACUUAAAUUUAGAAAGAUAUGCUUCAUUUCUACCCUCAAUCUUAUCGCUACAUUUAUUUGCUAUUUAAAAUUGAAAUUAAAAAGACAAAUGACAAAUAAGUUUCUAUAUUAGCUCACUUAUGAGCAAAAUAUAUUAUAACAAUCUUUACUAAUUUUAUAACAAUACAUAAACUAUACUCCCUCCGUCCCAUAUUAGAUGGGCACUUCCAACUUUACACGGUGAUUAAGAAAUCAUUAAUACAUUGGAAGACUUCACCAUUUUGCCCUUUGUUUAUAUCAAUGCACAUUGAAAUGAGUUACAAAAAAUACACAUACAAUAUAGGAAGGGUCAUAUUAAUUGUAGGGUAAAAUGAAAAAGAAUUAAUUAAUUCUAUCCUAAUUUAAUAAGUGCUCAAAUAAUAUGAAAAAAUUUAUUUUAGUAAAAUUCUCAUCUAAUAUGGGACGGAGAGAGUAACAAUAUAACUUUAUUAAUGUUGGGCCCGGGCAGCGCCCGGGCUUUCUUUACUAGUAUAUAUAUAUAAAAUAAUGUAGUAGUAGUCUGUUAAAGACAGCUAACGUCAAGAUUGACUAGUGUUGAAAAUGCUAACGUAGGAGCCUGCGUCAUUUAUAUUCUUUGGACCCAUUUUUUAAUGAAUUAAUGAUUGGCUGCACUAUUAUAUAUAUUGAGGAUUUUUGCAUAUAUUAAAUUAGGAAAAACAGACAAAUAAUGGAAACUGAAGAAAAUAUUGUAAUUGUUGGUGCUGGCAUAGCUGGUCUUGCUACUUCUUUGGCCCUUCACAGGUAAUAAUGGUUGCUUCCUUCGUCUCAGUUUAUGUGAUAGUUUUCGAUUUUUAAAAGUCAAAUAAUUUAAGUUUGAUUGAAAAUUUGUGUAUGAAAUCCCCUACCGUAAAAAGUACUAUAAAUCACAAUACUUGAUAAUUCAAAAUGUUUAAAAGAUCUAUGAAAAACUUAUGGUUAAAGAUACUCUUGUUUGAAUCUCGAAAUAUGAAAAGUGCCACGUAAAAUAGGAUAGGGAUAGUAUUAUAUUUCGUGUAUAUACUUGUUCAAUAAUCACAUGAUCUACUUCCAAAAGUUUGAUUUCUCAUAUCAUAAUACAAAAAUAUGCCUUGAUCUCAUGAACAUUUAUGCUCUUCAAUUUUGGAUGUGCAUAAGCAAACAUUUAAACUAUCUAUAAGUUAAAUAAGUAGACACACGUCCUAUGUGACAUAAUACACAUAGGAUGCAGAACUGCCACGUAGGAUGCCACACGGGACACGGGCGUUUACUUGUUCAACUUUUGAAUAGUUUAAGUUGUCUAUUUGUACACACUCAAAGUUGGAGGACAUAGAUGCUAGUUUGGGUCAGGUUAGAUGAUACAUUUAUGCAUUAGGCCUUUCUAGAAUAUGAUUUUUCUGGUAUAAUAGCUAUUAGUUGAGUGACGAUUUGAGAAAUAACUCGGCGGAAGGCGUGUCUUGUAUGUAAUAUGUAGGUUGGGGCUGCGGAGUAUUGUGUUGGAAUCAACAGAUUCGUUGCGAGCUACUGGAUUUGCAUUGGCGUUGUGGACUAAUGCCUGGAGAGCUUUGGAUGCAUUGGACAUUGGGGACUCUCUUAGACAACGUUCCUUAUCCAUUACUGGGUAUACCUCUUUAUUAUUAGUUAGGAUUUAGGAUUACUAACAACUUGAAGUUCAAUUUCGGAUUUUUAUGGUCAAAUGUGUUUUCCGGAGUUCUAGAUAUGGAAGAAAGUUGAAAAAUUGAUUGUCCAAAAUGCGUUCGAGUUGAUGUGCAGGCUUAAAAGUUUCUCAGCGGAUUCAGGUGCACCUAUCAAGGAGGUAUCAUUUGUGGGGAAUAACAGGUUAGCAUUAUAUCAAUUUUCGUAUUAGUUGGGGUCGGUUAUAUAAGUCCUUUUAUCUAUUCAUUUUAUGUAUGUUCAUUUUGUUCUAAAACAUAAUAAUUUAGUUUGAGAGACAAAUUCGAAAUUUCUCUAAAAUUAGAGGUUCUUUGAGUAUUGCAAUCUAUAUAGAGAUGUAUAAAUUUCUAACCAUCGAUAUAAAGACUCCUCACAAAGGUCGAAGUAAUGCAAGUACUGGUAAGAACAGCUAAUGUAUUUAACUUCUGGUUCUCACAGCAUCGAUCUUUGUAGAGAACAAUCACAUCUGUUUACGAAGGACUUAAGUGUGAAUCAAGGAUGCUGCAUACCGAAUUUUCUGAAUUGUUCACUAGUACUGAAUUGAUGUGGUUUUGUAUGUCUUUCUUCUGACUAUUGGAUGGACUGAUCAUUCGUCAGCCAACAUUUCUCUUUUUGAAGUCAAUAGUCAUCUAAGGUCAGUUAUAUUACGUUGCAGUGUGGAGUAUGAAAGUCGUUGUGUGAGAAGAAAAGAUCUGUUGGAGACAUUAGCUAAUGAACUGCCUCAAGGUGUGAUUAGAUAUUCUUCCAAAGUCGAUUCCAUUGAAGAAUCUGGACCAUUGAAAUUGGUACAUCUUGCAGAUGGUUCCACUAUUAGAACCAAGGUAAAUCUUUCUCUGAAAUUCUUAACUUGGAAUCCCUAUUAUUGGAAACUUCAACCAACGUGAUAAUUCAAACGUGUAUUUGACCAUUUAUCUCAAUUCCUUUCGUUAGUCUAGCUAGUACGUGACUAACUUUGUUAAGCUUCAAUUAAGGCCUUAAUUGGGUGUGACGGAGUCAAUUCUGUGGUGGCAAACUGGCUUGGGCUUCAGAAACCUGUCUAUUCUGGGCGCUCUGCAAUUAGAGGCUUUGUUGAGUAUCCGGAAAAACAUGGUUAUCAGCCUAAGUUCCACGCGUAUUUUGGAGGUGGAGUUCGGUUUGGAUUUCUUCCUAGUGAUGAGAAGAGUUUGUACUGGUUUUGCACAUUCACACCAUCUGUUGUUCAUUGUAAGCCAGCACCUACAUACUGUUUCUUUUGAAGAUUUACUUUUCGAAGGAUAUUUUUGUUGGCUAGAGAGCUUACCUCUCUGAAAGGGGAGCCUUGACGUAAUUGGUAAAGUUAUUGUCACGUGACCUAGAGGUUGCGGAUUUGAGCUGUGGAAACAGCCUCUUGCAGAAAUGCAGGGUAAGACUGCGUAUAAUAGACCCCUGUGGUCCAGACCUUCCCCGAACCCUGUACAUAGUGGGAGCUUAGUGCACCGAGCAGCCCAGAUAGCUUACAUUUCAUAAACUAGUCAUGUUUAGUUGUUCAUUUUAAUUGGGAUUUUAUGCAGUUGAUGGAAAUGCAGAACAAGAUCCAAUGAAAUUGAAGCAAUUCGUGUUGAACAAGGCUAGUAAUGUGUCUAAAGAACUCUCCACCGUUAUAGAGAGAACAACGCUCGACUGUAUAUCUGUCGCUCAGCUGAAAUUGAGAUUGCCAUGGAAUGUUCUGUUUGGGAAUAUUUUGAAAAAUAAUGUUUGCGUGGUAGGUGAUGCACUUCAUCCCAUGACUCCUGAUCUUGGUCAAGGUGGAUGUUCGGCUGUAGAGGACAGUGUUGUUAUCGCAAAGUGCCUUGGAGAAGCCUUGAUAAAACCGAUAACAGAACAAGAAGACGAUGAAUCUAUGAAUAUUAGGAAAGGACUCGAGAAGUAUGCUAAAGAGAGAAGAUGGAGAAGUUUUACAUUUAUCAGUGCUGCUUAUUUAUCUGGUUUCAUACAAGAGAGUGAUAACAAGAUAAUCAGUUUCUUAAGACAACAUUUUUUGGCUGGAGUCACUAUAUCAGUUACACUAAGAAUAGCUAACUUUGACUGCGGAAGACUAGCUGUUUCGUAGUAGCUCAGUUGGUUGGCUAUCUAAACUUUUACGUUAUUGGUGAGUGUUCGAUUCUCCACCUUGUAAUCACCUCUCCCUACUCCCCAUUUGCCUUUUUUUAUUUCUUUUUCAAAAAGCACAUCCCUUGAACCUCUAUGGUAGUAAUAAACAUGCAUGUCAAUUGCUUGAUUCACUCUCCACGCUUUUGAUGUUGUGAUCCCAUUCUUCUGAUUGAAAUAAUGUAAAAUGAACAAGAACUUAAAAUUGCCUAAUUAAGUAAGAGUUGAUUUUAGUUAGGCAGCACAACCCAAAUUAAUUUUACAUUUUGACAACUAAUUAAUCUCUACCAUGUG
rnacentral:lncRNA from 1 species